CCUACGGGAGGCAGCAGUGAGGAAUAUUGGUCAAUGGACGCGAGUCUGAACCAGCCAUGCCGCGUGCGGGAAGACGGCUCUAUGAGUUGUAAACUGCUUUUGUACGAGGGUAAACGCAGAUACGCGUAUCUGUCUGCAAGUAUCGUACGAAUAAGGAUCGGCUAACUCCGUGCCAGCAGCCGCGGUAAUACGGAGGAUUCAAGCGUUAUCCGGAUUUAUUGGGUUUAAAGGGUGCGUAGGCGGUCGGAUAAGUUAGCGGUGAAAUCCCGAGGCUCAACUUCGGAAUUGCCUUUGAUACUGUUAGGCUAGAGAGUAGUUGCGGUAGGCGGAAUGUAUGGUGUAGCGGUGAAAUGCUUAGAGAUCAUACAGAACACCGAUUGCGAAGGCAGCGUACCA
rnacentral:rRNA from 1 species